ensembl:processed_transcript A430010J10Rik RIKEN cDNA A430010J10 gene
CUACUUGCUCAGUCUGGAAUGACAGGCUUCUGUGCUGACAGGAGCAAGGAAGGGCCUCUGUCCAGGGACACCAUGCUGUGCUGCAGACACUGUCUCAUUUAACCCUCAUGGAAGCCCAAGGGCUAGGAUUCUAACAGCAGGCCACAGCUGUCCCUGUCCUUGGGGCUUGCGGACAACUGGAUAGACGAGUGUGUGGGUCCACGAGAUAGCUUGGAAAGUAAAGGUAUUUGCUGCCAAGCCUGAUGACCCAGAAUUCACAUUAUAAGGAAAGAGAACCGAUCCGCAGGAACCCGUGUCUGCAUGCAGGACUCUGAAAAUAUGAAGCUUUACCUGAGCAGGUAAGCUGGGUAACCCUGCAUGUUUUCUGUUUGUUUGUUUGCUUGCUUGCUUGCUUGCAGAGCGUUCACAGGAUUUCCUCUUUGUCUCUCCAUACCCAAAAUACUAAUAGAGGGUUCAUGCCUCACUUAAUAAAUGCAGGUUGGGCAGACUUUAUACAGGACCUGCUUUUCUAACAGCAGCCACCAGGUGAGCAUGAGUGUUGCAUUAGGAAUAAAACGUAUUUGGUUGUGUGAC